GAUGAACGCUGGCGGCGUGCCUAAUACAUGCAAGUCGAGCGAACAGACGAGGAGCUUGCUCCUCUGACGUUAGCGGCGGACGGGUGAGUAACACGUGGAUAACCUACCUAUAAGACUGGGAUAACUUCGGGAAACCGGAGCUAAUACCGGAUAAUAUAUUGAACCGCAUGGUUCAAUAGUGAAAGACGGUUUUGCUGUCACUUAUAGAUGGAUCCGCGCCGCAUUAGCUAGUUGGUAAGGUAACGGCUUACCAAGGCAACGAUGCGUAGCCGACCUGAGGGGGUGAUAGCACACAGUGAAACGAGGACACGGUCCAACCACGUAGGGGAGGCAGGGGGAGGAAAUCUUCGGGAGGGGGCAAAGGCCUAUAGGGGAAACGGGGCGGGAGUUAGAAAGGUCUUGGGAGUGUAAAACUUGUUUGUGGGGGGAGAACAAAGGUGUAAGAAAAUUGGCCCGUUUUGACGUAACCGAAGAAGAAGGCCACGGUAAAUUAGGG
rnacentral:rRNA from 1 species